rnacentral:rRNA from 1 species
AAGUCCCGCAACGAGCGCAACCCUUAUCCUUGUUUGCCAGCACGUAAUGGUGGGCACUCCAGGGAGACUGCCGGUGAUAAACCGGAGGGAGGUGGGGGCGACGUCAAGUCAUCAUGGCCCUUACGAGUAGGGCUACACACGUGCUACAAUGGCGCAUACAGAGGGCUGCAAACUAGCGAUAGUAAGCGAAUCCCAAAAAGUGCGUCGUAGUCCGGAUCGGAGUCUGCAACUCGACUCCGUGAAGUCGGAAUCGCUAGUAAUCGUAGAUCAGAAUGCUACGGUGAAUACGUUCCCGGGCCUUGUACACACCGCCCGUCACACCAUGGGAGUGGCCUGCAAAAGAAGUGGGUAGUUUAACCU